rnacentral:rRNA from 1 species
CGCUUCAGGGCCGGUUUCAGCGGAACGCUCUGCUUUCUGCUUACUGCUAAAUCCUCCUUCUAGAUACACGUUUCAGUAUUAUUAUCCGUGAUUCGCUGUAAUAGGGAAUGUAGCCCAUUUCUUCCCUUUCCAUACGCUACACCUCGACCUGACGUUUUGGGCUAUGCCAAUUAAGCUUACUAGAAUGGCCUUCACAGGGUAAGCUGGCGACGGCGGUAUAUAGGCGGGAAUGACUAGGAAAGGUGAGGUUAAACGGGGGUUAUCGGUUAUUGAACAGGCUCCUCUAGGUGGGUCUAAAGCACCGCCAAGUCCUUUGGGUUUUAAGCUAUUGCUCGUAGUUUCCAGGCGGAUAGCG